rnacentral:rRNA from 1 species
CCCUUAGAUGUUCUGGGCCGCACGCGUGCUACACUGAGUAAAUCAAUGGGUAAGGGAACACGAAAGUGCAACCUAAUCUUGAAAUUUGCUCGUGAUGGGGAUCGACGGUUGCAAUUUUCCGUCGUGAACGAGGAAUACCUUGUAGGCGCGUGUCAUCAUCACGCGCCGAAUACGUCCCUGCCCUUUGUACACACCGCCCGUCGCUCCUACCGAUUGAAUGUUCCGGUGAGCUCUUCGGACUGCGCGGUCUGCAGUUUCUGCGUUCCGUGCGGAAAGUUGUGCAAACCUUAACAUUUAGAGGAAGGAGAAGUCGUAACA